UUGUUUUGUUAUAGGUUUAUACGUUCAUUACACAUAUGUUUGUAAAGGUUUCGGACCGGUCUUACCCGGCCCAAACGAGUUCACAGGUGUGAGGAUGAUGUUAUAAGGCCUCUCGGCCAAAUCACUAAUGAUCCUUCCGCAGGUUCACCUACGGAAA
rnacentral:misc_RNA from 1 species